rnacentral:rRNA from 1 species
UACAGAGGUCUCAAGCGUUGUUCGGAUUCAUUGGGCGUAAAGGGUGCGUAGGUGGCGCGUUAAGUCAGGUGUGAAAUUUCGGAGCUUAACUCCGAAACUGCAUUUGAUACUGGCGUGCUUGAGGACUGGAGAGGAGACUGGAAUUCAUGGUGUAGCAGUGAAAUGCGCAGAUAUCAGGAGGAACACCAAUGGCGAAGGCAGCUCGCUGGGACGUGACUGACGCUGAGACGCGAAAGCGUGGGGAGCAAACAGG